AUCCCAUGAUAAGGACACUUACAAAGUAACUCCUUGAAUCGUUCCUAAGCCUCAUACAAAGACUCGUCAUCUAAUUGGAAAUUUAUGAUCUCGUUCCUCAACUU
rfam:Gossypium arboreum cultivar AKA8401 contig_117243_1, whole genome shotgun sequence.